rnacentral:rRNA from 1 species
UACGAAGGGACCUAGCGUAGUUCGGAAUUACUGGGCUUAAAGAGUUCGUAGGUGGUUGAAAAAGUUGGUGGUGAAAUCCCAGAGCUUAACUCUGGAACUGCCAUCAAAACUUUUCAGCUAGAGUAUGAUAGAGGAAAGCAGAAUUUCUAGUGUAGAGGUGAAAUUCGUAGAUAUUAGAAAGAAUACCAAUUGCGAAGGCAGCUUUCUGGAUCAUUACUGACGCUGAGGAACGAAAGCAUGGGUAGCGAAGAGG